UGAAUACGAGAUGCUACGGCGUCGAAGCAGUCUAUGUCAUACUUCCAAGAAAAGCUUGCACUGUCAUAAACAAAUAUGCCUGUACCAUAACCGACACAGGUGGGUAGGUAGAGUAUACUAAGGGGCGCGAGAUAACUCUCUCUAAGGAACUCGGCAAAAUGACUCCGUAACUUCGGGAGAAGGAGUGCCUUAUUUAUAAGGUUGCAAUAACAAGAUCCAAGCAACUGUUUACCAAAAACACAGGUCUCCGCUAAGUCGUAAGACGAUGUAUGGGGGCUGACGCCUGCCCAGUGCCAGAAGGUUAAAGAAGUUGGUUAGCAUCCGCGAAGCUGAUAACUGAAGCCCUGGUGAACGGCGGCCGUAACAAUAACGGUCCUAAGGUAGCGAAAUUCCUUGUCGGGUAAGUUCCGACCCGCACGAAAGGCGUAAUGAUUUGGAUACUGUCUCGGAGAGGGGCUCGGUGAAAUAGACUUGUCUGUGAAGAUGCGGACUACCUGCACCAGGACAGAAAGACCCUAUGAAGCUUUACUGUAACCUGAAAUUGAAAUUGGACUUUACUUGCGCAGUAUAGGUGGGAGGCGUUGAGAAUAUUCUUGCGGGAUUAUUGGAGCCAUCAGUGAGAUACCACUCUUGUAAUGUUAGAUUUCUAACUUUGUAUCAUUAUCUGGUCAAAGAACAGUUUCAGGCGGGCAGUUUGACUGGGGCGGUCGCCUCCUAAACGGUAACGGAGGCGCACAAAGGUUUCCUCUGAACGGGUAGAAAUCGUAUCUAGAGUGUAAAGGCAUAAGGAAGCUUGACUGUGAGACCUACAAGUCGAGCAGGGACGAAAGUCGGUCUUAGUGAUCUGACGGUGCUGAGUGGAAAGGCCGUCACUCAACGGAUAAAAGUUACUCUAGGAUAACAGGCUGAUCUCCCCCAAGAGUUCACAUCGACGGGGAGGUUUGGCACCUCGAUGUCGGCUCAUCGCAUCCUGGGGCGGUAGUACGUCCCAAGGGUUGGGCUGUUCGCCCAUGAAAGCGGUACGCGAGCUGGGUUCAGAACGUCGUGAGACAGUUCGGUCCAUAUCCGGUGUAGGCGUUAGAAUAUUGAGAGGAGCCUUCUUUAGUACGAGAGGACCGAGAAGGACAUACCUCUGGUGUACCAGUUAUCGUGCCAACGGUAAACGCUGGGUAGCUAUGUGUGGAGUGGAUAACCGCUGAAAGCAUCUAAGUGGGAAGCCCACCUCAAGAUAAGUAUUCCC
rnacentral:rRNA from 1 species